rnacentral:rRNA from 1 species
AUGGUCAAGCAGACGGCCCCCGUCCGUGUGGUCACACUUCUUCUCAUCAUAUGCCUACUCGCUGCGGAGGCACGAGGCCAGAUCAUCGAUGGCGGCGACGAGAAGAUUAGUUUGCCCAACGGGCUGUGCGUCCACGAUGAGGGGUCGACUUCCUGCAGUGGCGACAAGCCGUACUGCUACUGCUGUCUCCUUGGUUAUUAUUGCUACGAGACCAUGGACGCGUGCAAGGAAGAGUGCCUUAAGAAACUGUCUCGGUCCCCGUCUUCGGCCCAGAGCGGCGAUGGCAACGCCUUCCCUAUAGCUUAG